rnacentral:rRNA from 1 species
CCUACGGGUGGCAGCAGUGGGGAAUAUUGCACAAUGGGGGAAACCCUGAUGCAGCGACGCCGCGUGAGUGAAGAAGUAUUUCGGUAUGUAAAGCUCUAUCAGCAGGGGAGAAGAGAGACGGUACCGGACGAAGAAGCACCGGCUAACUACGUACGAGCAGACGCGGUAAUACGGAGGGGGCAAGCGUUAUCCGGAUUUACUGGGUGUAAAGGGAGCGUAGACGGCUGUGCAAGUCUGAAGUGGACGCCCAGGGCUCAACCCUGGGAUUGCUUUUGAAACUGUGGAGCUAGAGUGCUGGAGAGGUAAGUGGAAUUCCUAGUGUAGCGGUGAAAUGCGUAGAUAUUAGGAGGAACACCAGUGGCGAAGGCGGCUUACUGGACAGUAACUGACGUUGAGGCUCGAAAGUGUGGGGAGCAAACAGGAUUAGAUACCCGUGUAGUC